rnacentral:rRNA from 1 species
UACGGAGGAUUCAAGCGUUAUCCGGAUUUAUUGGGUUUAAAGGGUGCGUAGGCGGUCGGAUAAGUUAGAGGUGAAAUCCCGAGGCUCAACUUCGGAAUUGCCUCUGAUACUGUUCGACUGGAGAGCGGAUGCAGCAGGCGGAAUGAGUAGUGUAGCGGUGAAAUGCUUAGAUAUUACUCAGAACACCGAUUGCGCAGGCAGCUUGCUAAUCCGCAUCUGACGCUGAUGCACGAAAGCGUGGGUAGCGAACAGG